rnacentral:lncRNA from 1 species
CUGAAGGGUUAUUGUAUUAUAUUCAAGAUGCUUUCAAUUUUUUUCCAGAUUUUGUUUCAGAAAUACAGAAGCCACUUCUGACCUAAUUGGUCAAAAUGCUGUUCCUUGGGAAAUAGCAUGGAAUGUCUUCUUUUCAAGGCAAAUGAUUUUGGGGGCUGAUGAGAGAGCUAGAAAGGGUCAUUCUGGUAGAGGAAAUAUUUUUAUCUGGGCCUCAGGAAAUGGUGGUCUGGCUAAUGACUGCAGUGGUGUGGAUGGUUAUGUGAACAGCAUUUACACAGGGGCAAAGGAUGCCAACAUAUACCUCUGCCCCACAGCUUCUGGUCUACAAGAACUACUCAGCAUCAGUGGCCACCUAGAUGAUCCAGCGAGGAAGGAGUGUGGAGGCUUCUAUCCUGAAAAAGACCUUCAAUGUGAAGCGAGAUUUGGAUUUGGCUUGCUUGAUGCUGGACGAUUAAUGAAGGAAGCCCUAACUGGACAAAUGUUGGUCUCCUGA